rnacentral:rRNA from 1 species
CAGCAGCAGCCGCGGGAAUACAGAGGGUGCAAGCGUUAAUCGGAAUUACUGGGCGUAAAGCGCGCGUAGGUGGUUUGUUAAGUUGGAUGUGAAAGCCCCGGGCUCAACCUGGGAACUGCAUCCAAAACUGGCAAGCUAGAGUACGGUAGAGGGUGGUGGAAUUUCCUGUGUAGCGGUGAAAUGCGUAGAUAUAGGAAGGAACACCAGUGGCGAAGGCGACCACCUGGACUGAUACUGACACUGAGGUGCGAAAGCGUGGGGAGCAAACAGGAUUAGAUACCCCAGUAGUCCCUGUCUCUUAUAC